CCUUUCCUAUUUUCAAACUGUCCGACGGCACGACCGGUCACAGAAACACAAAUAGAAAGAAGUGAUAGUUACACGUGUAAAAGCGACCUCAGAGUAAGCGAGAUUACCCGUUAAAUUUAAGCAUAUUAUUAAACAGAGGAAAAGAAACUAACAAGGAUUUCCUUAGUAGUGGCGAGCGAACAGGAAUUAGCCCAGCACUGAAUCCCGCGGUACCGCCGCUGGGAAAUGUAGUGUUCAGGAGGAUCCGCUUAUCCCGUGACGUUGUACCGCGUCCAAGUCCAUCUUGAAUGGGGCCAUUUACCCACAGAGGGUGCCAGGCCCGUAGCGACCGGUACGCGUUUAUCGGGAGGAUCUCUCCUUAGAGUCGGGUUGCUUGAAAAUGCAGCCCUAAGUGGGUGGUAAACUCCAUCUAAGGCUAAAUACGACCACGAGACCGAUAGCGAACAAGUACCGUGAGGGAAAGUUGAAAAGAACUUUGAAGAGAGAGUUCAAGAGUACGUGAAACCGUUCAGGGGUAAACCUGAGAAACCCAAAAGAUCGAAUGGGGAGAUUCAUCGUCGACGAGCUGGCUCCCGUAGGUGCGCGAUGCUCCCUGGCGAAUCCUCGUGGUUCGUUUAGAGGGCACACCAUCUACGGCCUGUCUGACCGGUAUUCGUAGUCGUGCACUUCUCCCCUAGUAGAACGUCACGACCCGUUGUGCGUCGGUAUAAGCCCGGGUGGGAGCUUGUCACGUCGUUUCGGCGCUCGUGAACAGACCGGUAGUGUGGCCGGUUGCACGACGGUACUCGUAUGGUAUCGGGCCGUAACCAGUACACUUUCGAAUGUGUUUGCGUCAGGCCCGUCGCAAGCUCGAUCAGUUCUUACCCGGAGGCACGGAUACGAGCCGUCCCCGGGCCUGGUCAGCUGCUGGCAGAUUGGUGUCCUUCGACUGGCCAAUUACCGGUCAGCGACGCUAUUGCUUUGGGUACUUUCAGGACCCGUCUUGAAACACGGACCAAGGAGUCUAACAUGUGCGCGAGUCAUUGGGAUAGAUAAACCUAAAGGCGAAAUGAAAGUGAAAGUCGUCCUUUGCGUCGACCAAGGGAGGAUGGGUCGAUAAUAUGGGACCUCGCACUCCCGGGGCGUCUCGUUCUCUCUCUCAUCGAGAGAGAAGAGGCGCACCAAGAGCGUACACGUUGGGACCCGAAAGAUGGUGAACUAUGCCUGGUCAGGACGAAGUCAGGGGAAACCCUAAUGGAGGUCCGUAGCGAUUCUGACGUGAAAAUCGAUCGUCGGAACUGGGUAUAGGGGCGAAAGAUUAAUCGAACCAUCUAGUAGCUGGUUCCCUCUGAAGUUUCCCUCAGGAUAGCUGGCACUCGCACGUCCAUAUCGAACGCAGACGAGUCUCAUCUGGUAAAACGAAUGAUUAGAGGCCUUGGGACCGAAACGACCUCAACCUAUUCUCAAACUUUAAAUGGGUGAGAACUCUGGCUUGCUUGAAGCAUGAAGCCAAAGACAAUUUAAAUUAUAUUGGAUUUUGAAUGCCAAGUAGGCCAAUUUUGGUAAGCAGAACUGGCGCUGUGGGAUGAACCAAACGCAGAGUUAAGGCGCUUAAGACGACGCUUAUUGGAUACCAUGAAAGGCGUUGGUUGCUUAAGACCGCAGGACGGUGACUAUGGAAGUCGGAAUCCGCUAAGGAGUAUGUAACAACUCACCUGCCGAAGCAACUAGUCCUGAAAAUGGAUAGCGCUGAAGCGUCGCGCCUAUACUCCGCCGUCCGCGGCAAGAGAGGAGGCACGUGCGUCACUUCGGUGACCGUCCUUCAUGAAGCCCUGACGAGUAGGAGGGUCGCGGCUGUGUGCGCAGAAGGGUAUGGGCGUGAGCCUGCCUGGAGCCGCCGUCGGUGCAAAUCUUGGUGGUAGUAGCAAAUACUUCAGCGAGGAUCUGGAGGACUGACGUGAAGAAUGGUUUCGUGUGAACAGCCAUUGCAUACGAGUCAGUCGACCCUAAGCCCUAUGAGAAAUCAUAUGCCGAUGAGGUGUCCUUAAACACAUGUGCUAACGCAAUAAUUCGAACGCUAGGUACACACCCAUCGGGCGAAAGGGAAUCCGGUUCCUAUUCCGGAACCCGGUAGCGGAACCAAAAUCCAUUCGGGCCCUCAUUGAGUGUUCGUCGGUGUAACCCCAAAUGACCUGGAGACGCCGUCGGGAGAACCGGGGAGAGUUUUCUUUUCUGUAUAUGCGUUCGAGUUCCCUGGAAGCUUCUAGCAAGGAGAUAGGGUUUGGAACGCAAAGAGCACCGCAGUUGCGGCGGUGUCCGGAUAUUCCCCUCGGAUCUUGCAAAUCCAGGAGAGGGCCACGUGGAGGUGUCGCACCGGUUCAUACCCAUAUCCGCAGCAGGUCUCCAAGGUUAAGAGCCUCUAGUCGAUAGAUUAAUGUAGGUAAGGGAAGUCGGCAAAUUGGAUCCGUAACUUCGGGAUAAGGAUUGGCUCUGAGGAGCGGGGCGUGUCGGGCUUGGUCGGGAAGCGGGUCUGGCUGACGUGCCGGGCCUGGGCGAGGUGAACCUGUGGUGUCUCCGCAUGGGAUCCGAGCUCGGUCCCGUGCCUUGGCCUCCCGCGGAUCUUCCUUGCUGCGAGGCUUCCGUUGGCGGCCUGCCGUCGGCGGUCGUCCUCUUCGGCCGCCAUUCAACGCUCAGCUCAGAACUGGCACGGACUAGGGGAAUCCGACUGUCUAAUUAAAACAAAGCAUUGCAAUGGUCCCCAUGGGUGUUGACGCAAUGUGAUUUCUGCCCAGUGCUCUGAAUGUCAACGUGAAGAAAUUCAAAAAAGCGCGGAUAAAUGGCGGGAGUAACUAUGACUCUCUCUUAACCUCAGGGACCACAGGCUCCGUCGCAAGUUCUGUGGUACGGGGCUUAACACUCCCGAGGCACCCGAGCUAACACGGUUGGUGGCGGCGCAGCGGUAUCCUGUGAGCAGUAAUGAAUAUGGUACUUA
rnacentral:ncRNA from 1 species